GGUUGCAAUCCAAAAUGCCCUAAAAGUGCUAAAUUCUGUCUGAUUUUGGAAGCUAAGCAGAGUCAGUCAUUGUUAGCACUUGGAUAGGAGACUGCCAAAAAGUACCAGAUGCUGUAGAUU
rnacentral:rRNA from 11 species